AGUUUUCUCAAUUUAAAACUCACAAUUGCUGAAAGAGUUCACUGCUUUGCUUGUUGUAAGCAGAGGUCGUACAACAGGACCUGAAAAAGAAUAGCACUCAGCAGUCACACACUAUUAUGCCUUAGUCAUUUAACUGUUUUAUUGUAUUUUUACCUUUUGUCUUGAUGUAUUUUAGAGGUGCUGGAGGUUUUGGUGCAGGCGGGACUUUUGGUGCGGGCUGGAUUUUUGGUAAUUUUCAGAUUCUGAGAUGUCAGAAGUGUAGCAUGCCCUUUUCCAUUUUUUGGAAAUGUUGUCAAAUGAUGCUGAAAUUAUCAAAAAUUCUGGCCUGAUGCUUGGUCCAACCCUUAUCUGGCUGUGGUGCCUCCAUCAACCUGACGCUCUUUAGUAACCGGUCCAAGUCUUUGUAUGGAGGCCACCAUGAGUGGCCAUCUGAGUACCAGGACUUUGCUACAGGACCGGUACUCCCUUCUCCGACAAACUCCACUAUCAGGUAAAUUUUUUUUGGCACCAACCAACCUUUCUGUCAGCACAGUGGCUUGAAAUCCUGACAGCCUGCAAGUUAGAGGACCCAGUCGAAGCCACAAGUGGAGAAGCCGCCUCAUGACACCAAGGCACACAAGGUGCAUGUAAUCAAGGGGGAAUCCAGAGACCAUAUCCAAGGAUGUUUCUUCUAGUGGGAAUGUCAUCCUGUUCUCCAGGUGCACACCAUCCUGAAUGCACUUUUCGCAUCCAUGGUAGCCUGCAUGGCCCUUCACUUUUUUCAGAAAAGCACGUGCAGGUGCGUCGCAAAUCAUUGAGGUAAGCUGUAAAGUUAACUUGAGUCCUUCAAAUUCAAAACCAUGACUUAAGUCUUUUAUUUCACAGAUGAAGUCCUCAAGAUACUC